AUCACCUUUCCCGAUGUGCCGCGAAUAGCGAUAGGUGUCUUCUGGACACCCAACAUCAUACAAUUGCAACGCACUCCGCUGCCUGUCAAGUACUGGCGGUGGAGAGUAGGCUGAUUUGU